rnacentral:rRNA from 1 species
UACGUAGGUGGCAAGCGUUGUCCGGAUUUACUGGGCGUAAAGAGCGCGCAGGCGGUCGUUCAAGUCGCGUGUGAAAGCCCCCGGCUCAACUUGGGGAGGGUCACGCGAUACUGAUCGACUCGAAGGCAGGAGAGGGUAAGUGGAAUUCCCGGUGUAGUGGUGAAAUGCGUAGAUAUCGGGAGGAACACCAGUGGCGAAGGCGACUACCUGGCCUGUUCUUGACGCUGAGGCGCGAAAGCUGAGGGGAGCAAACGGGGAUUAA